rnacentral:rRNA from 1 species
AACGAACGCUGGCGGCGCGCCUAAUACAUGCAAGUCGAGCGAGAAGACGUAGCAAUACGUUUGUAAAGCGGCGAACGGGUGAGGAAUACAUGGGUAACCUACCCUCGAGUGGGGAAUAACUAGCCGAAAGGUUAGCUAAUACCGCGUACGCUCUUUGGACUUCGGUUCAGGGAGGAAAGCGAUACCGUGGGUAUCGCGCUCUUGGAUGGGCUCAUGUCCUAUCAGCUUGUUGGUGAGGAACGGCUCACCAAGGCUUCGACGGGUAGCUGGUCUGAGAGGACGAUCAGCCACACUGGCACUGCGACACGGGCCAGACUCCUACGGGAGGCAGCAGUAAGGAAUAUUGCGCAAUGGGCGAAAGCCUGACGCAGCGACGCCGCGUGGGGGAUGAAGGUCUUCGGAUUGUAAACCCCUUUCGGGAGGGAAGAUGGAACGAGCAAUCGUUCGGACGGUACCUCCAGAAGCAGCCACGGCUAACUUCGUGCCAGCAGCCGCAGU